GACGAACGCUGGCGGCGUGCUUAACACAUGCAAGUCGAACGGAAAGGCCCUGCUUUUGUGGGGUGCUCGAGUGGCGAACGGGUGAGUAACACGUGAGUAACCUGCCCGUGACUUUGGGAUAACUUCAGGAAACUGGGGCUAAUACCGGAUAGGAGCUCCUGCUGCAUGGUGGGGGUUGGAAAGUUUCGGCGGUUGGGGAUGGACUCGCGGCUUAUCAGCUUGUUGGUGGGGUAGUGGCUUACCAAGGCUUUGACGGGUAGCCGGCCUGAGAGGGUGACCGGCCACAUUGGGACUGAGAUACGGCCCAGACUCCUACGGGAGGCAGCAGUGGGGAAUAUUGCACAAUGGGCGGAAGCCGUAUGCAGCAACGCCGCGUGCGGGAUGACGGCCUUCGGGUUGUAAACCGCUUUCGCCUGUGACGAAGCGUGAGUGACGGUAAUGGGUAAAGAAGCACCGGCUAACUACGUG
rnacentral:rRNA from 1 species